rnacentral:lncRNA from 1 species
UGCCGGAAACUUGCUGGCACGGUACGGCAUGACGCGUGCCAAGCCGUACCGAUGCGUGCCGGUCAAAAAAAUUCUUGUGUACCGACACAUAAUAGCAUGAAAUAUUUAUUUUCUUUAGCAACAAAAUAUUCUAAUUAUUUAUUAUGUCUUUUUAUCACAUCUUUUGAACUUUAUUGAGAAAAUUACUUACUAAUUUAAAGAAUAGAGGGUUUUGAGCUGUGCCAUCGGUACGGGGUCUGUAUCGUACCGGUAUCUUGUUGGCACGAUACGGCACGGUAGAUACGGCCUAUGCCGACGGGCACUUAAAAUCUUGCUGUCAACAAUACGAGUUACAAAUAUACAGUAUAACAAUGUUGACCACUAACAACUAUUCUCAAUAUGAUCCUUCAUAGAUGCUAAUAUUCUCUAUAUAAAUCUGUUUAGGUUGUAAUUAUCAGCUAAAAGCGACAGUAAGCUUCAGGAACUAAAUGCUUAACUCUCAAAAGGUGUUUGAAGUUUACAAACAAGAGAUAUAAAUGUUUACAAACUUGCUUAUGCCGCUGCAUUUUGUUGACAGGUAUUUGUAACUCACAAGGCAAGGAAAAAAAUACAGCCGUUCAAAACGCUGAAUUUGCAGAUGCUCGGAGAACUAGUUUCAAGCAAACAUUACUCAAAGAACUAAAAAUCCUCCUAUGCGAAGUUUCUAUGCUCGGUGGAAUUGUGUAAUCCUAACUUUCUUAAGAAAAGCAAAUAUGAAAUUUCUAUAAUCAAACGAAAUGGAAUAACUUACAAAAAAUAGUGCAUUACAAUUAUGCAUUAACCCAAAAAUUACAAAGUGAUGCAGUUCUCAAACCGCUGAGCUCAGAAAUAUCUGGAAACUUACGACACUAAAGUGAUUUAAGGAUGCCAAUAUUUGACAUGAACAGUCGAUUUUAAGUAGUUCUUAAAAGGUAGACCAGAUAGAUAGAUGCGACAAAUAGAUUAAUGCCCGCAUUCUUUUUUCUUUUCUCUUCUUUUCUUUUUCUUUUUUUUUUUCUUUGGUUUUUUCGGGGCACCCACAAUCAUUGCAUACAAAACAACAGUGAAAACCAACACCAAUUAUCAUAGCAGAUAGGAAAUUAUUGAAGUAAUCAAACGGUAACUCGCUAAAAUUGAAAAGGAAAGAAUAGGCAGAACUUAUUUACCUCUAACAUGCUCAUAUUGCCGUGUAAAUUUAAUGAUCUACGAUCCUUCUCAUUGAACCCGGGCUUCUGAUGCGCCAGUGGGAUCAUUCUUUUAUGAUUCCUCGCUCUCGAUUGAUUCUUAACCUAAAGUCCAAAACCAACACUACAAUAAGAAAUUUAACAGUGAUUCAGUUAAUUUAACUGUGUUCAACACCUUUUUGCGAUGCAACUGCGAGUUUCGUUAGCUGAUUAGGAAAGAUCCACAACAAUAAAAGCGGCCUAAUUCUGCUGAAACCAAUCUAAAAUGCCAUUACAGAUAUACUCACUUCUGAGAUAGCGCAAUGUGAUACGCUAGACCUUGCGCUGCUUCCUCGUCUUCUCGCCUCCUUCAAAACCCCCUCCUCUAAAUCUCCAGCCAUUUUAUCUGAGGGGAACUUAUUCAUUUGCCACAACAAAGUCGCGAGCUUUCGAGCCGAUAUCGAAGCUCGGACCCCUUUCGCACAAUUAUAUGAUUCUCGAUUCUUGAAUGAUUCAGAACUGUUACUACCCGAAGAUAUAGGAACUGGUGCAGUGGAUCUCCCCUUCUUCCUAACAACAAUUACCCUCUUAAUGGAAUGGUUCUUCUUCAAUGAAGGAUAUGUAGAUGAUGAUGAUGAUGUUGAUGAUGAACAAGAAACCCUUUUUCGGAUCUCGCGAGGCCCAUUUACAGAUCCAUUUGUGCCCACAUUGUGCCUAAGCAUUCUCUAGAGAGAGAGAAAGAGAGAGAGAGAGAGAGAGAGAGGUUGGUGGAAUGCAAUGAGAAACCAAGAACAAUGAAGAAGAGUGCUUCUUUUAUAGGUGAAUUUGUAAGGGAAAGGAGAGAUUUUUGAGGUGGAAAUGAAAUGGGGAUUAUAUUCAAAAAAUCAGAAAAAACAUGUGGAGGAAAAGUAGCCGUUGGAAUAAUCAAACCAAAAGCUGGUAAAGAGGGGGAAAAAAAAAAAAAAAAAAAAAAANUAAAAAACAGGAGAAGAGCUAUUAAAGUAAGUGCCCAUCUUUUUUUAUUAUUAUUAUUAAAAAAAAAAAAAAAAGAAGAGGAGCUCAUGAGAGUGAGAGAUAAGAGUGAGGAACAAAAGAGAUGGGCGCAGAAACUGUUGACUCUGGGAAUUAGUGGGUUUACACCAAAAUGGCCAAAAGAUUCGAGCUUUAUGUGAAAUUUUCUCCUCAAAUUACACAACGAAUAUCAAAAACACCAUCAAAUCUUUGGGGUUGCUCCAAAAAAGAAAAGGCUAAAAUUAAAAGUUUCAGGUGAAAAUUUCUCCCGAGAAGAUCAAACCCACUACCAAAGCGAAUGAGUCUGCGAAGUGGGUUUGCUCCAAAAUGGCCAAAAAUUGAAGCUUUAUGUGAAAUUUUCUCCUCAAAUCACGCAACAAAAUCAAACCCACUACCAAAACUGCCGAGUAUGCGAAGUGAGCUUGCUCCAAAAUCGCCAAAAAUUGACGCUUUACGCAAAAUUUCUCCUCAAAUGACACAACAAAAUCAAGUGGGUUUGCUCCAAAAUCGCCAAAAAUCGAAGCUUUACGCGAAACUUCUCCUCAAACUACUCCAACAGAUCAAACCCACGUAAAUUCAAAAAAAAAAGAAAAAACACACGAAAUUAAGAAUCUUGCAACGAGAAACAGAAACAGAGUACCUAAAGAACCCAACGUAAAAAAUCCAAACUUUAACUACGGAAAGAGCUCUGCUCGCUUCAGAAACCAAUUAAUUCCCAAGCGAUGGGAUCGAAAAGCUCGAGGCUUUUCAAUUCGCUACGCAUCAAAGCCAAAGUAUCGGUGUACAACGAUAGAGAUUGAUGCUGCGGAGGCGGAGCGAGCGCACGAGUGGGGGGGGCGAUGCGGCGGAAGAGACGAGGAGAGAGGAGCUCACAAAAGCUCGUCUCCUUGUGCUUAAUCGCUUGUGUUGCCCCCACGCUUCAUAGCGAGAGGUUUUAAAUAAAUAAAUAAAUAAAUAAAUUGCAUCGAACGCAGUAAGUACACACACCCACAGGCCACAGCUCGGAUCGGAGAGCGGCGUGAGCUGUUCCUCCCCACCUAAUAAAUUAUUUCCAGCCCCCGCCGCGGAGGGUCGUGUCGCACCUUCACGAUUAUUAUUUCUUUUCUUGUUUUUUUUUUUUCUUUUUUUGGGUUACAUUCAGGUCCUGUAAAAGAUAAAUUUUUACAAGACUUAAAUAAUGAGAUUAUUUCUUUUAAUAAAAGUUUUGGUUCCUUCGCAUGUAUUAUUCUCCCUGUCUCUUGAUUCACCGCUACUUUUUUAAUAAACAUAUACUUAAAAUAAUUAUUUUGUGUCCUUAUAAAUUUAUCCCCCAUAAAAAGCUCCUUUUUUUAUUUUUAUUUUGUCGCCCCUCGCCUUUGCAGCGGCACGUGUGGCGUAUCUUAUUUUUGCCGUGCCAAGGACAUUGCCUUCGACGUUGCCGUUGCUGUAGACCUUGCCGUCGCGAUAGAUAAAAAAAAGAUGGUGAGAAAGAUAACGAGACUCGACAUUGAAAUACAAAAUUUAGGCAUAAAGGAUAAAAAGGUUAUUUUAUUUAUUAAUUAACUGACCGAUGAUUAUCUAAAUUUUGAUAACAGAAUGAUAUAUUUGCAAAUGAAAAAAUUUUUUGAGGAAUAAAUCUGAUAACUAAGUUUUAUAGGAAUAUAUUUACCAUGUGUAAUUAUCCUUUUUCUUAGUUAAGGGGCUUUUUGCUUUUUCUUUUGCCUGUUAUUCGAAAUUUUCAAAUUUAUACUAAAAUUAUCAAAAUAUUUUUUAAAUUUAAAUCUCAUUAGUAAAUUUUAGAGGAUAUUUGAAGGAAUUUUUAGAAAUCAAUAAGAAUAUUUUAGUCAAAGAGCGGUGUAUUAUUUGAAGGGUAUGUUAAAUAUUAUCCCUGUUUUUAUUAAUAGGUUUAAAAUACUAUAAUCAUAAAAAAGCAAUUUAGGUUUAAAAGUACUAUAAUUAUAAUUUUAUGUUUUGAAGGAUAUAUUAGAUAAUUUUAAAAUAUUUUUGCUUUAAAAAUGAAGUCCAAAUACAAUCUGAAAUGUUAUAUGGAUUUGCCAAUAUAUCAAGAUAUCAACAAUAAAUAUAUAUAUGAGAAUAACUGAUCACCGGCUAGUGCAAGCGUCAAAGGAUUUAAUAAUUGAUACCGGAGGUCUUAAGUUUAAAAUCUAAUUACUUCACAUUUUCAGCUAAGUUUAUGCUUUUACUUUUAGAUCUUGGAAUCACCUUGUACUCUUUAUUCUGUCCUACUUGGGGGCUUGCUAUGUAGGGCGCAACCAUGUGCAAUAUUGUUCAGCUAGCAUAUUGUCAGGGACUGAGCGAAAUUGUUGUGCUUUCUUGGCCUAUCUUCGCUAGCGGAGCGGGCUGGAAAGGAGGUUCAAAACCAGCAGUCGUUAUGGGAGACAAAGAGUCAUAUAAUUGCUAGAGUUAAUGGCUCCAAACCGUACCGCCAAAGAAAAUCCAAGUAGUGGAGUACUUAGUUUUUUGGAAACCUCUUCUUCUCUCUUCUUUCCUUUUUGCAUAUUUAAUCGUAGGGCGUGGAAGUCCAGACUAACAACAAGGAGCUAAACUUGUCCAUCUUCGAGCAGGAAGACAGGCGUCAUACGGACUUUACGAACAAAAACGCUAAGGCUAUGACAAUAUAUAUAAUAUUGCUAAAAGCACACCAAUACAGAAGCUCCAAAUUAGAGCUUUAAUAUUGGUGCAAGAAUAAUCCUGGUGAUCAAAUCAGCCCUCAUAAUGAAAAUUUUGUGAUUGCCAAGCAUCUACAUUGUAAGUAAAAACUUUAUUCCAGAGAAAGGUAACAAGCAAUUUGAUUCAUUCACUUUCCUUUAGAAAUAAAUUUUAGUUGAAAAUGUGAAUCAACUAAACUUCAAAUUUGGGACCUCGGGUACCAACCACCAAGACUUUUGCUAGUUGCUGUGGGGACGAUUAGUAUUAUAAGUAAAAGCAGAAGCAAAGAAGUAUGACAAAAUUAUGGUAAAUAUUCUCACAAUUCCUUAAACAUAAUAGAGGAUCAAUUUGUUCGAUGUGGCACAGGUCAUUAUUUAUUCAAAGCAAUCCAUAAAGAUACAGUCGAUCCAACGAUUAGAAUAUAUCUGGACACGUCCUUAAUGGACGGAUGUGAUUAAACAUCUUUACAAUAGAUUAUAUAUAUAAAACAUAACGGGAAUCCCGAUCUAACCAUAUAUAAUCCUAUUUUCCUGUAAUAGCUCCAUCUCUGGAGAUAAGAGAUGGAUAGUGAACGAGGAUGAAUUAUAAGAAAGAAUCAUCGUCUAUAAUACGCAUCUGAAAAUCGAAAUUAUCACAGAAUGUACGAUUUUAAUUGGUAUAUGAUUUAAUGCGAUCAUCUCCACUUGAAAGUAGGAAAGAAAAUAAAUACCUCUCUAGAAAACUUUGUCCAUAUGAGAUUAAUUGUAUGAACAAUUGUUUAACCAAUAUAUAUAAAUCCUAAUUAAUUCUAGGUUAAUAAUUUCCACCAUCUCAAGACAAAUACAACAGGAAUAAUGUGAAGAAGUAAAAUACUCUUUACAGAGAUUAAUUCUUUGCCAUAUUGAGACAUAAUUUUCAUGUCAAAUAUCAUGUAAACCCAUUUGGCCUCCAAAAUUGACUUGGAUAAUUAAGUAAAUUCCACUUAAGAUGUAAUCUCAACUGUAUAUAUCAAUAUGACACUAGAUUCAUGUAAAUCACUAAACCCUUUAUUUUUUUAUCAUUAUAAGUCCGGAGAGAGACAAGCAUAAAUUAGCUCAUUACUUACACAUCAUACAUAUCUAUAUAUAUAUAUAUAUAUAUAUAUAUACCAACAACGAGGACAAUAAUUCAGGAAACAUGUUGCAAAGUUGAUAAGAUAAUUGAACUAUUCAUUAAUUAUCAUGGAAAUUAAUUCAUCGACAAUAAUUUAAGGUGACACUCAAAAUACACAGUAACACUUUUUUUUUGGUCGAAUAAUACACAGUAACACUACUACUCAUAAUUUUUUAAUGAAGAACGUAAUAUUUCUCUUUGAAAUGAACAAACUAUAUACUAUUUUAUGUGAUGUCGAAAGAAGCCUAAUAAAUGCACAAAAACAAAAGAUUAAGAUGUGAUAGGGCACACUUGCACGAGACAUGCAUAACGGCGACGUGACGCAUAACGCCGUUCCUGGGGAACACACGUUCCUUUCCCAAGUGUCGUUUUGUAUAACAAAGCUUGUGGAUGCAACAAACAAUGUGUGUAAUUAGGCUAAAUAGCAUGUCACUGUCCCAACCCUGAUAUGUUUCUACGUAGAUGGAAAGAGGAGGAGGAGAAUGGUAUAAUUAUUCCUUAAAGAGUGCAUUUUUAUGUAAAAAGUAUAAUUUUUAUUUUAAAAGAUUUAGUUUACAUCUCAAAUAAUGUAGCUUAUAUUUAUAACAGUAUAACGUUUUUCUAAACGGUGCAACUUCAUUUUCUUUUUUCUUUUUCUCUAGUUGUUCUUCUUUAUUCUUUAGUUUUUUGUCUUUAGUUAAUUUUUUUAUUUUAAGCAAAUAAAAGUGCUUGAUCAGAGAUACUGCAGUGGAGGUGGAGGGCGAAGAGAAAUUGGGUGCAGAAGAAGCACAAGGAAGCGGAAGGAAAAGAGUAGGAGGAGAAGUAGUGUAACUAUCUCCCAAAGAAUACAAUUUUCGUUUAAAGAGUGCAUUUUUAUGUAAAAAGUAUAAUUUUUAUUUUAAAAGAUUCAGUUUACAUCUCAAACAAUGUAACUUAUAUUUAUAACAGUAUAACGUUCUUCUAAACAGUGCAACUUUAUUUUCUUUUUUCUUUUUCUCUAGUUGUUCUUCUUUAUUCUUUAGUUUUUAGUCUUUAGUUAAUUUUUUAAAUUUAAGCAAAUAAAAGUGCUUGAUCAGAGAUACUGCAGUGGAGGUGGAGGGCGAAGAGAAAUUGGGUGUAGAAGAAGCACAAGAAAGCGGAAGGAAAAGAGAAAGAGAAGUAGUGUAACCACCUCCCAAAGAAUAUAAUUUUUGUUUAAAAAAUAUAACUUUCAUCAUAAAAUGUGUACUUUAUAUAUCAAAGAGUACAACUUACAUCUACAACAAUGCAACAUUUUUUUUAAAACAGUGCAAUUUCAUCUUAACAUUGCAACUUUAUCUUUAUCUUCUUCUUCUCUGGUUAUUAUUUCUUAUUUUCUAGUUUUUUACCUUUAAUUAAUUUUUUUUUCUAUUUUAAGCAAACAAAAAUGCUUGACCAAGGAUACUCUUGUGUAGCCCCUCGCCCUCCUUGCCUCUGACCCCACCAAGGCCGCGCUCGUCGCCGCCCUCUGGGACGCCGCCUCCGCUUCUGCCGCCCUUUUCUCUGGCGUCGUCACGCUCUCCUCCAUCUCAACCUAGCUCGCUCACUACCGGUCCCAGGCGCAGUGGGUUGUGUGCCCCCUCCUUUACCGACGAGCUUUUCGGCGCCGAGAAGCGCUUACUUUUCGUUAUCGGCGGCAGUGGUCAAGACUGCGAGUUCCCAGAAGGGGAUAUAGUGGGUGAAAAUUUUGCUACAAUGGAGAUGGAGGGCGAAGGCGGAGGAAGAGGACGAAAUGUCGUCCUUGUUACCGUCGCAGAGGGCCGCGGAGACGGUGGAGGAGGAUUGGAGAGAAAAAAUAUAUAUAUAUAUAGUCACGACGCAGCCUCGGUGGAGUCAGAGGCGAGGAGGGUGGGGGGUGCGUGGGCGCAUGCGAGGGCGCUCAGGGCAGAGGCGAGACGGGCCGCCUCCGCUUUCGCCGCCUUCUUCGAAGAUAAUGAAAAAAAGAAUGAGAGAAAAACCAAAGGAGAGAGAGAAAGGAAUAUGAAUAUUUUGGUCAGCUUUUUGAAUUCGGACCGAAUUUGUAAAAUCCAAAAUGAUGGUUUACUUUUGCAAAAAUCUCAGAACUAAUGAAUUUUUUAUACAAAUUGGCCUAAAAUAUAUCGUGAGGGCCUCUAUCAAAGAAUAUAAAUUUUAGAUGUACUGUGUGGGAGAAACCAAUAAAAGAGCAAUAGGGGCCGGGCAAUUGAGAGGCCCUGUGUCUCUUCCAAAAUCAGAUCCGACAAAUCUAUGCACUUGUAAGUUAAAUAAUAGAGGGAGAGACUAAUUUCCUAUUUUAGCUAAUUAGGGGUGCAUGUAGGGGUGUAAUGUGGGUCGCGCCGUAGCCGGGCCGAAAUGGGCUAGGAGCCUGUCAAAAUCGGGCCGGGCCAGGCUCGAGCUGCCUAGCCUCCGACCCGGCACGGUCCUUCGGCCCUGAAGGCACGGGCCGUGUUUCGGGCCGAGCUCCUAAAAUAUUUAUAUUUUAAAAAAAUUAUUAUUAAAAAUUAAAAAUUUUGUAUAAAAUUUAAAAUUAAAAGUAUUUUCUAUUUUUAAAAUUUUUUUAAAAAAAUUUAGUAUUUAUUUUUAAAAAAUUUUAGGGCCGCGACCUGCCGGGCUAUCGGCCUCUCCUCGGCCCCGAGCCGUCGGGCCCCAAGGGAGAGGCCCAGCACGGCUCGGCAGCUCCGGCCGGGCCGACCGAGCACGGUGCUACAGUACCUAUGCCGUGAAUAGCCCGGCCCAAAGCCGUGCCAGGCCGGAUGGCCCACAUGCGGUCCGACCCGUUUUACAUCCCUAGAGCCCUGUCACCCUAACCAACCACCUCAUUUUAACUAUAAGUAGUAAGGGCAUUAUUAGUUUGGGCAUUACAACUAGGCGAGACCAAAAAAGUUACGUGAGUUUUUGGUUUUCCAGAAAGAUUUUAAAAAAUAGUUUUUUAAUUGAAAAGGUAAUUUUCGUUUAUUUGUUCCCGUUAGAUGUGACUCGAAAUCUACUAUCGAUUCAGGUUCGGAUUUACGACUCACCGACAGCUUCGCGGUGCGACUAAUUUGGAAAAGAAAAUUAUGGAGGAAAAAUGAAUGUCUGUGGUGGGUAGCGGAGGGCUCGGGCCGACAGGCCCGAGCUCGUAGCCCAUAGAGGGUACGGAUCGGAUCCGAAACCUGUAAUGAGUUUUUUUUCCUUUUUCGUUUAUCGUUUAUGCCCUAGAGGCGUGUGAUCGUGGUUGGUUGUAACCUGAAGAACAUUGUAUUCCCUUUUUCGUUCCAUAGUGAAGCACUCUCCUCCCUCGCCCGUGGUUUUUCCCUGCAAAGGGUUUUCCACGUAAAUCUGUGUCUCUUUAUUUUCUGUUUAUGGUUUGAUUGUUUUUUGUGUUCGUCAUUUCGUUUCCGUUUGUGCGUUUGUCGUAACAGUUCCAACAAAAAAAAAGUUUUAUCUGAAUUUUUCAUUUAUUCAGAAAAAGUGAAAACUACGAAAAAAGAAAUUUUUUUUUUUGAAAAACUUUUUUUCGGAAAAAUAAUUUCCCAUAAUUUCCUAAGGAACUGAAUAUGCCUUAAGCAAUACACGCUAAUUGGAUUGAGACCACUUGAUUUAUAGAGAAUUAUCUAUAUGGAUUNAUGUGUAACAGUGAAAGCCUGAAAGAGAGAGUGUGUUAUGUAAAUUUAGAGUUGGGCUCAAUUGCACGGUCGUACUUGUUGGGUUUAUUUUAUGGGCCAACAAUAAUGGCCCAAAUUAAAUUAAAGCCUAUAUAUAAUUAAAAUACAUUAUAUUUAUAAAUAUUAUAUAUAUAUUUUCGAGCUUUUCGAGCUUUUCGAGCCUAAUUCGAACGAGCCAAGUAAUACUCAAGCUCGGCUUGAAAUGAAUUUCGAGCCUUUUAUUUUGUUCAAGCUCGGCUCAUUUAAUUUCGAGUCGAGCUCGAGCGAGCCGAAUAUCGAGCCGAACACGAGUCGAACGCGAGCCGGCUCGCUCGUUUGCCAGCCCUACUUGGAAGAAUCCAGAAUGGAAAGGUUUAAUAAUACAGUGAGAAAGUCUAGUCAAUGGCAAUUUGGUACAUUCAACCUGAAAUGGAAACACAAAAUACUAUUUUUACUCGUAUUAAUCCAUAUAGAUAAUUUCCCAUAAUUUCCUAAGGAACUGAAUAUGCCUUAAGCAAUACACGCUAAUUGGAUUGAGACCACUUGAUUUAUAGAGAAUUAUCUAUAUGGAUUAAUACGAGUAAAAAUAGUAUUUUGUGUUUCCAUUUCAGGUUGAAUGUACCAAAUUGCCAUUGACUAGACUUUCUCACUGUAUUAUUAAACCUUUCCAUUCUGGAUUCUUCCAAGUAGGGCUGGCAAACGAGCGAGCCGGCUCGCGUUCGACUCGUGUUCGGCUCGAUAUUCGGCUCGCUCGAGCUCGACUCGAAAUUAAAUGAGCCGAGCUUGAACAAAAUAAAAGGCUCGAAAUUCAUUUCAAGCCGAGCUUGAGUAUUACUUGGCUCGUUCGAAUUAGGCUCGAAAAGCUCGAAAAGCUCGAAAAUAUAUAUAUAAUAUUUAUAAAUAUAAUGUAUUUUAAUUAUAUAUAGGCUUUAAUUUAAUUUGGGCCAUUAUUGUUGGCCCAUAAAAUAAACCCAACAAGUACGACCGUGCAAUUGAGCCCAACUCUAAAUUUACAUAACACACUCUCUCUUUCAGGCUUUCACUGUUACACAUAACCCUAAAAUAUGAUAACAUUCAAAUCUCUACUUUUUUUCCUCUCUCUCUCUCUCUCUCUCUCUCUCUCUCUCUCUCUCACUAGACCUAUCCAGUCAGGAAGUCACCUAGCUCACAUUUCUUAUAAUUAUUUUGUAUUUUGAACUAUUCAUGUUGCAUCAAAUUGUAGGUAAUGUUCUAUAAAAAUUAAACUAUUGAUUAUAUAAUGUCGAGAAUUUCAAUCGGCUCGUUUAGAGCUCGAGCUCGACUCGACUCGAAAUUAGGCUCGCUCGAGUUGGCUCGAAUUAAUUUCAAGCCGAGCUUGAGCCUAGAUUUAGGCUCGAAAUUAAUUUCAAGCCGAAUUUGAGCUGACAUAAGCUCGCUCGAGCUCGGCUCGUUUCCCCCCUACUUCCAAGGGUAUACGUGUCAACUGAAUCAUUUUAAGAAUUUUUGUUGUUGCAUUUUCUCAUUUUUGAUAAAUUGUAUGGCUAAUCCAUGCGCUAGUUCAUUGUCGAAUGAAUGAAGCGGUAGCGUGCUAUCUUUUUUUCAAAAAAAAAAAAAAAAAACUGUUUGGUUGAAUGUAACUAAAAAUACAAUAAAGUUGAAAAAUAUUAUAACUAUAUGCAUUGAUUUGAUAAGAUAUGAUAAAACAUACUACAAGUAUAAAUAAUUUAUUUUUUCUCUCUCUCUCUCUAUAUAUAUAUAUAUAUAUAUAUAUAUAUAUAUAUAUAUAAAAUUUAUUUGAUUAUAUACAAAUGAAAAUUAUAUUUUUAAAUUUUUAUCACUUUAUAUAUAUGAUAAUAAAAUUACCUUCAAUGUAGAAAAAAAAAUAUUUAAAAAAUCAUUAAAAAGAUAAGCUAGAAUUUUAUCAAAAUUACUCUCUCCCUGCCUCAGUAAAAAUUAAAAACGUAUUUUCAGUUGCCGCAGUUGAACUUUCUUGUACUGUUCCAAAUACUGCAGUUGAAUUCAAAAAUAUAAAACCAAACACCAAAUAGCCCCUUAGUACAUGUGUUUUUUUACUUAUACACAUCAGCUGUGAAACUUUUAUCUUUAAAAAUUUAGAGAGCACAAGAUUUUCUAAACGCGAUGACUAUUUUAAUCUUAUUUCUAUGGUAAUUUUUCCCAUUCAGCGUACUUGAAGAAGUGGUUGAAAAGGCCAUUAGAUUUUGUUCAUAGUGAUGACCAGCUGAAGCACUCCUAUUUUUUAGGAGACAAGAAAACAGACAGGGCUCAAGAAACAUAAUGGCAUCAGAAGAAUAAAACUCAACUUUUCUACUCUUUACAAGAUGUCUUAAUCAGGAUAAAUUUUAAUAACUUAGAAAUAUGAUUGAACAACAAAGCAUCGAUACUUUCGGAUCUUUGAUCUUCGCCAAUGCGUAAGUAAGCUAAUCUCACUUUAUUGAUGUCAAACCUAUGUAAAGGAAAUAUCACUUCUCACACUGCUAGAGGAUGUCUGAUCACUCCGCGCCCUUCAUCAAGAAUGAAGUUGCUGUUUCUGAAAUGCGUGCUAGUGAAGAAUGGUUUCAAAUCAUAGAUUUCGUACUCCUGAGCCUGUGACCACCAAAAAUACAAAUUAAAAUAUUUUUUAUUUUCCCUUUUUCUUGUUUUGACAUUAGAUAUGAUCCAGACGAAAGAAAGUAGCAGUGACUACUGACUAGUCCUAUUCUUACCUUAGUCCGCAACUCAUCCACUUUCACUUCGAUGUGAGUGAGGUGUCGAGUUGAUCCUGAGACAAUUUCUUCAAAAUACAAAGCAUCCUUCACGAGUAUUCGCAGUAGAUGCAGCAGCAAUUCGUUGUAAUCCUUCUUGAAGGUCAUGUAACUCCUAAAGCUCUGCAAACAGGUAGAGGUAAGAGUUAGCUCUCUCAGCGAUAAUCAUGAGUUAAUUCUCUUUUAAAUGGCAAAUGUGCUUUUAGUCCGCACCGUGCUCAGCUUUAAAACAACUCUAUUUCAAACAAUAGAAGCUUCUAGAGAUGAGACGUUUGGCUAGCAAAAUUUCUGAAAAUUUAACCAUGGCAGAAAGCUAAAAUUUCAAGGCUUCUAUUUCUGCUGGUGAGAAGCUGAAGAAAAGACUUUUUGUUCUUUAAACAACUCGGCUCAAGUAGCAUUUAUGCCGAAGCUUCAGUGAGGCCAAACAGGCGCUAUGGCCAGUAUUCAAGAAGUAUGAGUGGCAUGCUCAAACCUAUACAUGGCAUGCUCAAUAAAAUUUGAACAAGAAAUGUAUAAUGAACAAAGUCUCGGAUAAUUAAUAUGGAUACAUUAAGAGCUCCACGUGAUCUAACCAAUAGUAGUUAGCUUUCAUUAACCUUUUGAUAUUUACAGCCAAAUUACAUUCAUACCUUCUGUAGUGCUUUUUGGACUCCAAAUUUCUGGGUUGAUAUGAAGGAAUCGAGCAAUACGCGUAUCGCCAUGUCAACAUCUUCUUGCGACACAUAACCCCUCAGAUGCAUUCUUGCAUGUGCUUCUGACAUCCUAAUCAUUGAUUCCAUAUGCCUCACUGCAAUUGGAACCCCUUGGCCGUGCUGUAAAAGUCAUGGAACGAUAAGAUGAGAGUUCAGGAAACAUACUAUAUUAAAUAACCUCAAGAAAAGUAACAGAUCUCACAGAUGACUCUCGGCGAAGUUCAGCAUAAACAUGUGUGAGUUUAUCCAAGUCAGCAUCAUGUAAUCUCGGAAAGACGUUCAACUUGGCAUAUGUUAUGUACUUCUUGAGCAUGUCUUGAGAAAGUAUCUGACCAUGUAGCAGUUUGUUAGACAGAAUUUAAGACUAGCUUAAAGUUUUUUUUCAAUUAAUUAUAAAUUCAACUACUAGGUUUUGGCCCUGAUUUCAGUUAUAUCCCCAAAGUUUCAAUAUAAACAAUUUACUCUCUGAAAGUUGUUUUGCAUGACAAUUAAGUCCUAUCUUCAGUCUUACUCUACAGUCCAAUAUAAUGCCAUAUCAGCAUCAUCAUUGAAGACGAACGUCAGAAAACUGGUGGCAGCAAACUCUAACAAUGAUGUUUACUAACCUCUUUUUUCAUAUGGUAAACUGUGUAAAAGACUUGAUUGUUACAUGGGACAAACUUUGAUAACUAAAGGGAAUAAUGGACAUCGUGGUCAAACUUCAACAAUUAAAUUUGCAAUACCCUUUUUGUACAAAAAAGGUAGAUAUUCUCACACCUCUGGAUCAGCUGAUCUAGCAGAGGCCAGGAGAUCGUCUUGCAAGUCAGAGGCAGGCUUAUCUUCUAGGUUGGCCCCCUUAGGUUGAGAUCUAGCAUGGCUAUCUACAACAAAUCUUGCAAGCAUUUCAUCUGUAACUGUAUCGACAAUGUCCUGCACAUGAUUAAAAGUGAACAUUACCAACAAAUGAGAUUAAGAUUUGUCAUACGAAACUAUUUUAAGUUAACUGAAGGUGGAAUUCAACCUUAACAACGCAAAGGAUAUCGAAUCGUGAUAUGAUAGGUUCAGUCAGUUCCACAUUUUGAAGAAAAGUCUUCGAGGAGUCGUAUCUGAAGAUACAAAAUAUGUUAAAUUUUCUUCCCAGUGAUGAAUGUUUAUAUAUGAAACUUUUUACUUUUUCUGAGUAAAAUCCGUUUUAAUUAUUGGUGUUACCUUCCUCCAAUUGGAUUUGCUGCAGCAAUGACACUGCAACGAGCUUGGAGAGAUGUAACUAUUCCAGCCUUUGAUAUGCUGAUGCUCUGUUGUUCCAUGGCUUCAUGGAUACUCACCCUGAAAUUAGCAACUACCAAAUAUAGUCAGCAGGAUAAGGGUAAUCGGAAAUGAAAAAUUAUCUUUGACUACAUAUUCAUGGGGCCUUCCAUAAAUCUCCCUGCAAAACUAUCAGUUUUCAUAAAUAGUCCUGUCAAAUCUGAAUUUUCAUAUAUGCCCUUUGAGAGGGCAGUUGCUUAAAAAAUAUGCUUAGUUGAGGAGUCAUGCUGGGAAUAAGUUCAUUUCAUAUUAUAAACAAAUUCUCAAAGAUCUGAAUAUCUGCAAGUACAAUGGGCAUAUAUGUAAGCAGCCAAUUCUCUUACGAGCAAUUGCAGGAGUAUAUACAUAAAUAAAUAAUUUUGCGAGGAUAUCUAAGUUACUAUCUGAAUGUAGUUUAACCUGUCCUGAUCAUUCAUUUUGUCAAAUUCAUCGAUUAGGCAGAUCCCUCUAUCCGCCAGAACAAGUGCACCUCCUUCAAGGGUCCAUUCCCUUGUCACGGGAUCCUUAUGCACUGCAGCUGUGAGCCCAACAGCAGAAGCACCUUUCCCUGUCGUGUAGACAGCUCUAUGGCCGGUCUUCUCAACAUACCUAUGAAAAAAAAAGUAAGGGCAUUGUUGUAUGUCCCAAACAAAAGAAAAAAAAUGAACCAAUUACAAAUUUAGACCAUGAAGUUGACUCCAAAGUUCAAUAUCAUCCUUAAAAGUUAUAAUUUUCGCAAAACCGAACUGCCGGAAGGUUUGAGGCUACAAGGACAAAACUGAAAUCAAAGUCAAACUUGAUGCAAACUUCAUGCACUAACCCUGAAACAAAUCAAAGAAAAACAAGUGUAAAUACAUCUCAAAGUCUUCCAGGGCUUACUUGAGAAAUUGGGAUUUAGCAGUGCCAGGAUCACCUAAGAGGAGAACAUUUAUAUCCCCUCUUAACCGAUGUUUACCCGUAGCAUUCUUUUCUUGUCCUCCAAACAUGGCAAGCGCAAUUGCUGUCUUAAUAUCUUCAUGACCAUAGAUUGAUGAAGCAAUAGACUUAAUGAUCUGUGUGUUCAGUUACAAUCUUUUAGCUGAUGAAUAUUUCUUGAAAAUAAAUUAAAAAACUAAGCUAACAAAAACAAUCCGAAUACUUUCAUCAAAAUAACAAAGAAAACAUUAACGAACAAACCCUUUCUCCAAUUCUUGGAUCUUUUGCUAACUUCUCAAUUUCAGCCUUAUCCUCAUCAGUAAGUUUGUAAGCAGAGAAGAGAUCCUGCUUUUUUGCAACAUAAUUCGCCUCAACCACUGUGGCAAAAACAGGAAACCCGUUUUUUGUGUUUAAUGAUAAGUCGAAGUUGUUGGUGUAUAUGCCUGUAACCUCCUGAAAGAGGACAAGGAAACAAAUUCUCCUUCAGAACCUCUACUUGUACUAACAAGGAAGACAAUAAUAUACUAUAGGUGAAGUAAUUACAAUUUCUUCCCCUGGGCGAGCACAGUCAAUUAGAUCAUUCAGAAGUAUAACUUCCUUAUAUCUUGGAAGCCUGCCAGCUGGCACAAUUCCAGGACUCUCCUGGAGGGUCAGUUUCUGGUAGUUCCUGUAUAUAGUCUGGAAUAUAGGGACACAGUUAGAUAACAAAAACAAAGAUGCCAUUGAUAUUCUUUAAACACAAAAUAUUCAAUUAAUACGAUGAAUAUAUCAACAGUUAGAAAGUACAAGAUGAGACAUUAGAGUACUUCAUUCCAGAUUGCUUAAGGCUAAAUACAGAAAACCCCCUCAAUAAUCAAAAACACACAGCGUAACCUCGUCGAUUACAGAAAAUGAUGCACUUUUACCCGCUACAGAAAGGGACGAAAGUGCUAACAUUUCAUAAAAGAGGGAUUACCCCUAGAUUUUCAUCAUCAAGUACGGUAAAGUGCAAACCAUGAUAUUUACAGACAGCUUUCUGUGCUCUAGUUAAUUGUUGGAUUAUCUUUACCAUUAGACAAAAUGUUUGAUGCAAAUGUAGCUUACUUGCUCGACAUUAACAGUGAACGGUCCUUUGGAUUGGCAUUCAGGACAAGAACCCACUUUUACUUCUGAAUAAGAGUUCUGGAAGAAGGGGCCAAGAACUGCCCCACAUUUACUGCAAUCGUACUUCACCUGCUGCAGCUGGGGGAAGACCCCUGAUCGCCGAGUCACAACACCUCCUAUACGAAUCAUUGUGUUCAGAUGGAUCUGCCUGAGAUACAACAAAGCAUCAGUCCAUCAGAAAGAAGGAUUACCAUGCCUUAGAAAAAAAUGAUGUUUUACCUGAUAUUUCUUAUCUGAUCAUACACUGGUAAAUUAGUGAUGCGGACGUAGAUCUUUUGAUGGAUGUUCUUGUAAUUCUUGUGGAGAUCAAAGACAACAUUUUUUGCCACUUCUUCCAUGACUUCAAGCACUGACUGAGGUGCAUCGGCCAGCCAGAUAGCAAUGUUUGGAUGAACAUAAAUAAAUUGCUUGUAAUCUAUUUCUAGACUACAUUUAUUAGCUGCACAAACAGAUCAAGCAAUAAAAUCAGCAAAAGCAACCAAGAUUCUCACGGCAUAAAGUCCAUGCUGUUAAUGACCCAUCAGAUAAAUUGCAUAAGGGUCCUCAACCUCUUAGAGUAGUUUAAGUCCUAAACCUUUUGAUUGGUACAAUUGACUCUCUAACUUUUGCAAUUUACAACACACUCACACUUUCAGUUAAAUCCUAUAUCGCAUUGGACAAGCAUAGCCAUGUAAUCAUCAUACAAAUGCCCCGAUAUGAUUUCUCAGCCUCUCAUAUGGUGAUUGAGUGGGUAUGUCCAUCCAAUCUUGCUAGGAAUUUACUGAAAAGUGUACAACCACAUUAGAAUGCAAAGUUAAGGACCCAACUGUAACAUCUGAAAGGAUAGUUGUUCCCCCAGUGUAGAUUUACCCUCUAUGGACAGUAGGUCUUCCAUCAAAACUGAAGAUAAAAAGGGGUAGAGUAAUACCUAGAACCAGCUCAUUAAUCAACCGUACAUACUCAAAUUCCCCCUGUUCAUUCUUAGGAUUCACAUAAGUAAGCAGGAAUUCCUUAAAUUUCCUGGCAAUAAAUCGGCGUACUUCGUCUCUUGUGACCCACUCUCUCAAUGUUCCUUGGACCCGAUACAUAUUCAUUUCACCUUCUUCAUCAUAUUCAUCCUGUAAAGUGAAGUGCAGCAAAACAAGCAUGAGAAAACCAACUCCACAUGAGCUGUAUCAUACUUCAACCAAAUAUAAUAAUAUUAAGUAAAAAGAAUACAUUUGCAAGGGGCAAAUAUAAAAAAAAUCACAUUUUUGGAGCAUAUUACUAAAUAGAAGAAUUUGAAAGGUGCGUAUAUUAUAUAUUAAAAGGCCCAUUGCAAGUAUCAGCACCUCGUAUGGGUCAUCAUCAGUCUGAUCAGUAAAUGGCACAUCAGAGUGUCCACGCUGAGAUCUUCCUGGCGAACUUUGCAUGGCAGCAUCAGCUUCAUCAUCACUUCUUGCACCACUUGGAGGAGGCCUGAAAUCAGCUCUAUGCCGUUUUGCCCGCCUGAAGUUCAUAUCCUCAUCUGUGUCUGCAAUUGCAACAAAGGACAACUUUUACUCGCGAUGGUAAGCAUUAACCAUAAAAUACAUGUGGUAGUGCGACAUUGUAAAUUUAAAACAGUAAAUUCUAGAAUGUUAGACAAAAAAGAGGUUUUAUUUGAUGUGCAGGUUCACAUCCCAACGCUGGUUUAAAGUUUCAGCGGUAGCACAAGAAACAAAAUAUAGAAAUUCAGCUACUUCCACAGCAGUUCAAAAAGUAGGGUUUGAAUAAUAUAGAAAUUCUUAGCUCAGUUGUUCCUCCAAUAACCAUCCACACAUACAUACACACAUCAAUAAUCCCAAAUUUCGCCAAUCAAUUCAACAAAAAGCUUAUAAUAAGAAAACAUCCGACAAUUCUCAAACUUGAGACUUUAUGUUUCAUAGAACAGUAAAUGGCCCUUCGUAGAGGGUCCAGUGAUCAGCAGCAUGAACAUCAUUUCAAACCCGAUCAUUCCUUUCCUAUUUAAAGACACUCCGAAUCUAAGCUCACAUAAAAAUAUCACCCACAAAAUUCACAAGGUAAUAAGAUAUGCACAGGAGAUAUAAGAAAGGUGACCUAUUUACCCUGAUCAUGAAGCAUGCGAGGGAGCUUCCGAUCGGUCCGCACAUCCCUAGCAUCGAGCUCAACCUCUGCGGCCCUCCGAUCGGCCAUGAUCUGAUCCAGAUCUCUCUCAUCCUCCAUCGAAUCAUCCAACCCCAUCGACUCAUACUGAUCCUGCUCGUCCAUCCGGCGGUAAUCACUAUAACCCUCAAACUCCUCCAAAUCAGAAACACGCACAGAGGAAAAGAUCAAACAAGUCACAAAUUAGGGUUAGGGUUUCCGGCAUUUGCUUACUCCAGGUAGUUGUCGUUGUAGAGAUCCUCCCCUUCCUCCUCCUCUUCGUCGGCCCCGACGCCGCCGCCGCCAGCGUCCAUGUCGUCGUCGGGGAUGACGUGGGGGUCCACGGCGGCCUCGUCGUCGUCGUCGGAGAAGUCGUCGUCGGUGGCGCGGCUCGUGUUGGGCGGGAGCCGGUCGGUGCUGAACCCGGCCGAGGUCGGGGAGCCGGGCGUCGACGGGGUGUUCUCGGGAUCAUCCUAGGGUUAUACAUGAAGGAUCAAAAUGGCGAAAGAGAAAAGGAAUCGAUCACGAGAGGGGAGAGAGCGAGGGAGAGAAAUGGGGGGCAUAGAUUUGAGGGCUUACUCACCAUUGUUGGGAUCGAUUAGGGUUUCUCUUUCUUCUUGUUCUUCUUCGUCUCCUGUUGCUUCGAGUGCUUAGCGAUCACACCUCGAGAGAACAGUGGCCUAGGAACGAGAUGGGGUCGUCUUAUUGGCGGGAUGGGAUUUUGGCGGGAAGAUUUCGCGCCACAACGGGCGCGCGUACGUGACAGCGAAGCCCUAGGAAGUCGCGUGGGUGGGCCCAUUGGCUUUAUCAAGAGUUUUUUUUUUGUUUUAGCUCCUCACACUUGUUUUUUUGGCCCAUUUACAUAAAAAAUUCAAUUAUUUUGGACUUUUACAAAACCGGUCACAUUUUUCGUUUUUACAGAUUUGUUUCGUUUUUUCAGCAAACUGACCAAAAUAUUCUUAUAACCUUUUCUCUCUCCUUUUUUUUCAGCAAACUGACCAAAAUAUUCUUAUAACCUUUUCUCUCUCCUCCACUGUCUCCGACGACGACGCCUCUCUUGCCCUCUCCCGCCCUUCUCGUCCUCUCCCUCUCCCUCCUCCUCUGUCGCCUCCGACGACAAUACAUCUUCGCCGGCCCCGACGCUGGCGCCGACACCGUGGAGGUCACUGCGGCGCUCCAUCCUCGGAGCGGGGGGUCCUCAGCGGCAUCGUCGCCGCCGCUGUGGACGUUGGCAGAGAGGGGUGACCAAAAAAAUUAUAAAAGAAGCAAGAAAAAAAAUAAAGAUGAAAAAUUAUAGUGAAAAAAUGAUGAAGAUGAAAUUGUAUCGUUAACUGAAAAAAAAUUAUAAGUUGCAUUACUUAAAAUAUAAACUGCAGCUUUAAGAUGAAAAUUACACUUUUUAAACAAAAAUUACACUCUUUGGAAGAUAUUUACACUGUUUCUCCUCUUAUUGCACUCUUUCAGAUGUAAACUGUAUCCAUUAAUAUGAAAGUUACACACUUUAAACGAAAGUUGCACUGUUUUUCCUCUUGUUGCACUAUUUCUUCUCUUGUUAUACUAUUUUUUAUCUUAAACUACAACUCUUUAAGAGAUAUUUAUACUGUUUCUCCUCUUAUUGCACUCUUUCAGAUGUAAACUGUAUCCAUUAAAAUGAAAGUUACACUCUUUAAACGAAAGUUGCUCUGUUUUUCCUCUUGUUGCACUAUUUCUCCUCUUGUUAUACUAUUUUUUAUCUUAAACUGCAACUCUUUAAGAGAUAUUUAUACUGUUUGUCCUCUUGUUGCACUGUUUCUCCUCUUAUUGUACUAUUUCUCCUCUUAUUACACUAUUUUUAUCUUAAACUGCACCCUUUAAGAGGAGAAACAGCGUAACAAGAGGAAAAGUAGUGCAACAAGAGGAAUAACAGUGCAACAAGAGGACAAACAGUGCAACAAGAGGAGAAACAGUAUAAAUAUCUCUUAAAUGGGUGCAGUUUAAAAUAAAAAAUAGUGUAGCAAGAAAAAAAAUUAUGCAACAAGAGGAGAAAUAGUGCAACUUUUAUUUAAAUAGUGUAAUUUUCAUCUUAGUGGUGCAGUUUACAUCUGAAAGAGUGCAAUAAGAGGAGAAACAGUGUAAAUAUCUCCCAAAGAGUGUAAUUUUUGUUUAAAGAGUGUAAUUUUCAUCUUAAAGCUGCAGUUUACAUCUUAAGUAGUACAACUUAUAAUUUUUUUGCAGUUAACGAUACAACUUCAUCUUCAUCCUUCUUUUUCUAUAAUUUUUUAUCUUUAUUUUUUUUUCUUGCUUCUUUUAUAAUUUUUUUUGAUCACCCCUCUCCACGGCGCCGGCAACGAUGCCGCUAAGGACCCCCCGCUCCGAGGCUGCAGCACCACAGUGACCUCCACGGUGUCGGCGCCGGCGAAGAUGCAUCGUCGUCGGAAGUGGCAGAGGAAGAGGGAGAGAAGGGCGGAGAGAAGGGCGGAGAAGGGCAAGAGAGGCGUUGUCGUCGGAGACAGUGGAGGAGAGUCGAAGAGGAAAAAAAAACAAAGAGUCGCGGAGCGGCCUCGGUAGGGUCGGAGGCGAGGAAGGUGCCGGGGUGUGCAGGCAAGGGUAAGGAUGCGUCGGCAUAUUGUCGGCGCCGGCGAAGAUAUGUCAUCGUCGAAGGUGGCAGAGGAGGAAGGAGAGGGAGAGGACGAGAAGGGCGGGGACGGCGAGAGAGGCGUCGUCGUCAAAAACGGUGGAGGAGAGUCGAGAAAGAAAAAAAAANGAAAAGAAAAAAAAAAAAAAAAAGUCGCGGUGUGGCCUCGGCAGGGUCGGAGGCGAGGAAAGUGCAGGGGUGUGCGGGCGAGGGUAAGGAUGCGCCGGACAAGCCGCCUCCUCCGCCUCCGCCGCUCUCUGGGAAGAGAAAAAAAAAAAAAGAACGAGAGAAAAAAAAAAAGAGGGGAGAGAAAAAGGUAUAAGGGUAUUUUGGUCAAUUUGCUGAAAAAGCGGACCGAAUCUGCAAAAACGAAAAAGGUGGCCCGGUUUUGCAAAAGCCCAAAAUAAGUGGAUUUUUUAUGCAAAUUGGCCUUAUUUUUUUCACAAUUAAUCUCACAAAAUUUAUAUUUAUUGUAAAAUUAAUUUUAUUUCUACCAUAUAAGCACGUGACCGCAAAUCAAGAUGUAGAUGAAGUUGAACAUAGUGAACCAUUCAACAUGUUUGGACACGAUGAAUAAUUUACCGUAUUUUAUUAUUUUCUUACCACAGUAUUAAGUAAUAUUAAAAUUAGAGUUUAAGAAGGACACUGUGUUCAAGAACGGUGAAUAAUUCAUCGUGUUUAAUUUUGCACACAUAGCGCUCGCGUGGCACUUGCAUGAUGGGGAUAAAAUCAAUCUUGUAAAUAUGAAUUUUGUUGGAUUAUUUAUGAAAAGAAUGUCUGAGGAACUAAAGACAAAAAAAGCUCUUUUAUCAACGUAAAUUGCCAGUCCGAUCAUGAUCUUAUAUUCAAAUCGAUUUUGUUUAAUUCAUAAAAUUGAACCGACUUAAAAUUUGUUUUGAUUUAUUAAGAUUAGCUAUUUAAUCACUGAACCUAAAACCAGUCGAUUUUUUUAUUUUAUAUUUCAAAUAAUUAAAUAAAAAUAUGUAUAAAUUUUUUAUAAUCUACGCUUCGAAUAUAUUUUUAAUUAUAUAUAAUAUAAUAAUAUUUCAAAAUAAUAUAAAAUGUUAUAUUUAGUAUGUAUUUAAUAUUAUAUUGUAGUGUUCUGGAGGUUUGGAUAGGAUUGACUACAGUAUUAAUGAUUAGUCGCCACAUCUGGUGCGUGUCGGACUGAGUCAGAGUCGUUUCUGCACAAAAUGGAUGCAGAAAUCGACUUGGCGCACUCAGAGGAGCAAAACUAGAGUUUUGCCAGUUUCGGGCGCCCAGAACUAGGUUUGGGUCGCCCAGAAGUUGAGUGUUGAAUUGAACAGAUAUUGGAAGCCAAUUCGGAUCCUAGUUUCGGGCGCCCAGAAGUCGGUCCGAAAUUUUACUUUGGGAAUAUCGUUUGUACUGACACGUGGCUGGUGGUAGGUGAGAUCCGUCGGACCAAGAUAUGGCCGCAGUACACCGCGGGCGGAGGAACCGAGGGGGAGCAAUUGUGUAAUCUGGAGGUUUCGGACGCCCAGAAAGGGGUUUUGGGCGCCCGAAAGUGACCGUUUCUGCUGGGAUCUCAAGCUAGUAUCUUUUGUUCCUGGGGUUUAUUUGACCCCUCUAACUCCUUAUAAAUAGAUGGAACUCGACCCCUGUGAGCUCUUUUCUUCCUUUCUUCACAGAGAAGCCCUAUUUUGCAUCUAAGUCCCUCAAAUUACUCCAAAUUCUACAAUUUCCACCUUGAGCAGUGCUGUUUUAGCAUAAUUUCUGCAGCGACCUUUGGCGUUUUGGCUCGUGUGCGACGUAGGAAGGUCGGAUUGCUGUGAAACAUGGUUUGGUGGUUAGCUGACUUCCUAAAGAUUUCGUGGAACCCUGUUUGACAAAAAUUGAUUGAGGUUUGUAUAGUCAAUUUCGUGUUUUACUGAGCUGCUAGUGUUUUGGUCCUGAAAGUGAGUUUUCUUUGAUUGUUUUUGGACCAAUUCUUGGAUAGAGCUGGAUUUUCAACCUGAGGAAGCUGCUGCACCUUUUCCUACUGGUUUUGAGAGUGUUCUCCACCAGAAUUGUGGAUUCGGGGUUUGAUAAGUGAGUUUUGACAUUGGAAUUGAAAGUUAAGCUUAAGUGUAAAAUUUUGGGAGUUGUAAUGCAAAUGUUGGUAUUUUGAUAUUCAGAUCUUUGAGGAGAUUUGCUGCUAGUCCAGGGGUGAUUACGACUGAGACUCCCAGUGACUUCGCGACUUCUAGUUGUGCCGUGGAUUAGUGUUAAUGAUAUACCCUAAAGCCAAUCGGUGACAUAGGCUUGUGAACAUAUUAAGUAUUUUUCUUAAUUAAUAAAGGGCAAGUUUUAUUCAUAUUUAUUGUUAGCAGUACAAUACAUUUAUAUGAAUCGUCCAUUGAAUCUUCGUUAAGAAAAUAUAUUCCUAAGAGUUAGGAAUUUGAGAUAUAUAUUUCUUUGUACAGGAUUCUUAAACGCUCCUAGCCAUAGGAAUGUCAUAAGGACGAUGAUAUUUCCGGAUAGGCCGGUGUAUGCUAUACUUCUAAGUUGAGGUGACGAAUCUCAAGUCAUUAGUGUAGGGACACUAAAGUGAACAUGCAGGUGCUUGUUAGCGAACAAGUACACUGAGCGUGACCAUUUAGUUGAACAGUUACAUGGUUCCAUAUUCACCAGUGACUAGUUCUAUGCUACCAUUGUGUGAAGUACUCCUCAGACCUGAGGCAUCAUGGUUGCUUCACAUAUAUAUUGCUACUGUUUAACUGUACUAAUACUUAGACUCUAAUCAUUGGUCUACCUCUGGUACUGAUUGGUUGUAGUAGUUUAUAUGGGGAGGCGUGUGAGUGUGCAAUAAGGAAUUCAACACUCUCAAUAAUGAGAGAGAACGUUCUAUAUAGACUAUCGAACUCGACUCGAAAAAUCCUUGGCCAGGGUACGUGGUGUGCGAAAAGAGUUUCCAGUUGUGUUACCAUAUUGAGUCAGUUUUAGAUAUUCUAGUCAUAUGAUCGAAUAAUAAGAUUUGGCGAGUAACCAUAAUCUUAGUUCGAUCGGGGCGUUGUGUGUUGGAAGGAAUUAACCACACGGUAACGGUUAGCGGAAAGGUUCGUUUUAUCAUCACUAUUUUGGAUUGCCGUGAUAUACUGCUAGGUGUCACUCACGGACAGUGAGAGAAGUAAACAAAUAAUUUAAAUAAAUUGUUUUACAGAUUAGAAGAGUUCUAAUUCAAUAUUGAAGGGUUUGAUAUUGGACCUCACUGUCGAAUAGUAAUGAAUCUAUGCGGUCACACACAAUAGGAAUUGUGUGCAUCCAACAUGACAAGAUGAGUAUAAUACACUAAACAGUUUAGUGGAAAUAAUGAGAAAUUACAAUUUGAAUUUGAAUGUUACGAAAGAUUUAAUCUCUAAUUAGAUUAGAGAAUAAUUAAAUAUUCAUAAAUUAUUAUGAGAUAAUAUUCUAAUUAGAUUAGAUUUAAAUAUGAAUAUUUAAUUAUAAUUUAAUGGAUAAGAUCUAAUUAAAUUAAAGAGGGAUAAUAAUAAAAUAUCUAUAAUAGGAUAAGCGUAAAUUUACUUUUAUUUAUCCUGUAACUAAUUGGAUAUAAUCCAAUUAGUAUUGUAACUAAUUUGAUAUGAUCCAAAUUAGUUAUAACAGAUUAAUUAGUAUUGUAACUAAUUGGAUAUGAUCCAAAUUAGUUAUAACAGAUUGAGUGUGCCCGGCUUGUACGGCUUUAUUAAUUAGUGGAGGCGUACAUAUAGGAGCCGUGGCUUCAUUAGUAUGUGACACUCAAAUUUACUGAAAAGGAUUCACAUUAUUCUCUCUCAACUUUUCGUAAAAUAUUUCACUAAAAGGAACGUAGAUAUCAGAAGACUGCUAGCACCGUCUUUGUAAUCUGCGACUCAUCUGUUCCGUACGGGCACGUGCGCGGCUAAUUGGAAUCUCAGUUUCAACCGUACAGUAGAUCAAGAGACCUUAACUAGUCCGAGGUAAUGUAACCUAAACUUCAAAUUUGCUUAGGUUAGAUUAUUAUUUUACAUUGUAACAUGAGAAUGAUCCGCCGGCACUGGAUUGAUUUGUUUUGUCUUGAUUCAUAUGUGAUAUAGAUUUUUGUUUUUCGAAAAUACAAUUUUAAUUUCCACUGCAAUUUUUGUGCCGGAUAAAUUCUUACAAUUAGCGCUAGAGGUGGGAUAAUAUUGUGCUUACCGUAUUUCACGGAAUUCCUCCUAAGUCUAGUUAUUGUCGACGUAUAUUUCCUGUUUUGAAUAACAUGUUUAAUAGCUUGAUUCAUUGUCGACGUGUAUUUCCUGUUUUGAAUAACAUGUUUAGUAGUUCGAUUCAUUGAUUUGUUGUCUUCUAAAAUCUGAAUUGGAGCUUAGAAUAUUAAUUAAAUAAUAUAUGUUGGACUUGGAUUUGACUUAGGAGAAAACUGACGCUUUUACACUGUCAUAUGUUAAAACUACCAGAUUUAGAUCUAGGAGCCGCAGUUGUUUGUAUCACCGCAGUUUGUGGGCGGUGGAUACACAUGAUAGUGUAGAAUGUACUUACGCUCGUACUGGGAUGCCGAGUUUAUUUUUUACAGUAGUGUUUAGGCUGUUCCGGACUGUCGGGUGCCGUUAGGGUUGACGGUGGACCCAGAUUGCUGUUUUUGCAUCAGAUUGUGCCGAGGGCACGUGAGUUUUGCUGUUAGACCAGUUAGACUCUAUUUACUUGACUAUAGCCUAUGAGAGCCUGAUUGAGCUCGACAGAGACACGCUUGCAUAUUCGGUUGGGUAGCGCCCACGAGUGCCACUCCGGGGUCGGGCUUUGUGCGUUUGCAUUGGUGUCAUUGUGUCCUGGUUGGACUUACUUUCCACGGACGGUUGAGCGUGGAGGUAGCUGUAUAGCUUCGACAGGCGGGACGGGUGUAUUCACAAUCCCUAGUGAGAUUGGAUCAUAACUUACAUUAUUCUACAGAUAGUUAGCAUUGGAUAAUGAUAGUAUAGUGGCAUAUAGCCGUAGAUUAUUUUCAGUUCCUUUACUAUCAUUGAGCAUACCUUCUGUAGACUUAGUGGGUGAGCCGUUGAGGUCGGUAGCGGUACCCACUGAGGACUAUUUCUUUUUGCAGUAGUUCUCACGCCGAAUUGUGGAUCUUUUGCAGAGCCUCUGGUUGCGGCUGCUGCAACUGCUGAUUCUGAUCGCAGAAAGGGUGUUGCGAGUUAGAGCCCUUCCUGACGAGUUGCAAAGUUAGAGGAUGACUAGCUACAGGUAGUUGUAGUUUUUGGUUCUUUACAUACUGAUGCUGAUGUUAUUCCUCGCUGGAGUCAGUAUUUUUGUACCAGAAUUUUAUGUUGUAUUGAACCGAUAUUUUUAUAUAUGUAUUCCUUUUAGCAGCUCUAUACUACUAGUUGUAGUAUUGUAUGUUUACAGGUACAGCUAUCGUUUCGUAUACAGGAGAAAUUUCUAUGUAUACGGCGGGUCUGUUAGCGUGUCCAGAAAAACGAGAAAUACGAGACGUGACAUAUAUAUUGUAUGAAAAAAUAAUAAUUAAGUAUUUAUGAUGUCAUUCAAUUUAUUGGUUGAAGUACUGACCAAACCAGUGACCUGUUAUACCUAUAAUCUGGCAAUAAUUUUGGAUCUUAAUAAAUGAUUCCAAAUCUCAAAUCAUUGGCCCUAAGAAUUAUUAGGCCCUAUCCCUACUUUGUUGUAGUUUGUGAGCAUUAAACCUAAUCUAAACUCAGUAAUUUUUUGUAUCUUCUAUCUCCAAUGAAACAAACACGCCACUAAUGCUUAAAUGCAUGUUUGUGUUUAUUAUAAGAGUGAUUUAGAUUCUAGCUUUUUAUAUGAAAAUACAUGUGAUUAGAUUCAGAGAAUUUUUUGAUGGAUAAAAAGAGAAAAAUUAAAUUAAAAAAGAGAGUUUUGAUGCAUUUUGUCCAGGUACAUUGUACACAAUCAAGCUUCUGUCCUUUUCCUCAUCCACAUCAGAAUAUGAUACCUGGACCUGCUCUAAAGACCAGUUCUUUAGUAGAAAAAGUCCAUUAUAUAACACUUAUAUCAUAUCAUCAAUAACUAGUUAAUUACAUUUUUUUUUAAUAAAAAAUAUAUACAAAUACUUUUUUAAUAAUCAUGAUGAAAAUGGAUGAAUAAAAAGAAUAAUUCGAUUGGUUAGGGACUCUUAUCUGCAAUAUAACUAGUGCAUUCGAGAUCUUUCUUUUUUAGUAAUGGUCUAUCUCUAUCUCUCUUAUUAUUAUUAUUAUUUUCUUUUGGAAUAGUCUGAGGUGUAUAAUAUUUUAGUUUUCAAACUUUAAACUUUAAUUAGUUAUAACUUAUAGGGAAAACUUCAAAAACCCCCCAUGUGGUUUCAAUUUUUUUCACUUUAGUACCUUGUGGUUUAAAAUAUAUCAAGUUAGUACCCUGUGGUUUCUCACUUUAUCACUUUAGUACCCUAUGGUUUAAAGUGUAUCAAGUUAGUAACCUGUGGUUUUGCACUUUAUCACUUUAGUACCCUGUGGUUUUAAUUUGGUAUCAAGUUAGUACCCUGUGGUUUUUUUAAAUCACAGAGUACUAAAGUGAUAAAGGGUGAAACCACAUGGUACUAAAGUGAUAAAGUGCAAAGUUAUAGGGUACUAAUUUGAUACACUUUAAAUCACAGGGUACUAAAGUGAUAAAGUGAGAAACCACAGGGUACUAACUUGGUACACUUUAAAUCACAGGAUACUAAAAUAAAAAAGUGUGAAACCACAAGAGAGGUUUCUGAAGUUUUCCCUAACUUGUAACUCAAUUUUUUGAAAGUAUUGCACUCAAGUCUUCUAAUAUAAUUUAGUUGGAUAAAUAAUAAUGCGGCGGCCAUGUGGUAGUGCCAUAGUUCAUAACUUAAUAAUGAUUAGCACACCACAUAUGUAAUAUAUUAUUAUCAUCAUCAAACCAACUAAAUUAGUUUGUGGCCCUCAACUGUAACAAUCUAAAAUGUUGAAAUAAAAAAGUACAAUAAAUUAAAGUUUGAAGAUUAAAGCAUUACUUAUAUUCUGAGAACCAAAAGUGUAAUUUUGAAGUUCUUUUUUUAGCAAUUAAUGCUACGAGAGUUAAGUUGUACUCUUGCUAGAUGAUAUCUCACUUUCUUAAUAUUUAGAGUAGCUAAUGGGGAUUAUACUUCUAUAGUGAGUUACAUUAUACGAGGGUAAAAAAAAUAGUAUGUGUUUGUUGUACAAAUAAAGUCCGACUACUAUACUAUCUAUAUUAUCAAGCUCUUAAUACUAUUGAUAGUAUCAAGCUGUUGGAUCUACCCCUUGAUCAUUUCCAUCCGUUAGAUUAUAUUAUUCAACCAACCACUCAUUCAACCCUAAAGGACCAUUAUCAUCCUAACUAUAUAUUUUUUCAUCCAACGACUGAAAACUCGAUAGCACCAAUCGCUUAGUACUAUCGAUAGUAUAAUAGCGUAAUAAUUGUCUAUAUAUCCCUCAAAACUUCGAAAAUAUCUCAUUUAUUCUUACUUUUUUUCCUUUUCAAUAUACCCCUCAUAUGUUUCUCCGUUAUUCUAAAAUACCCCCAUAGGCCUACAGUUAUCAACCGUUAAGUUAACUUGGGUUAAACACGAGUUAAAUAUCGACCACAAUUAAAAAAAAUUAAAAUAUCAAUUUUACCCUUAACUUAAGGGCAAAUAAGAAAAAUUGGUGACGUUAGAGAGGUAUGUUUGAAGAGACCAAAAGUCAAAACACUUUUUGUGCCCCUAACUUAAAGGGCAAAUAAGAAAAGUCGAUAAUGGUGGAAGGGUAUAUUUGAAAUGGCAAAAUAGUAAUUUUAUACAGAUAACAGAGUUUAUUAACAGAUUUUAACUUUAGGGGUAUAUUUGAAAUAUGUUGGAACGUAAAAAUAGUAUUUUCAAUAUUAGUCAUCUAAAAAAGAUAAAUCAGAAAGUCAGAAGCUUUUUACGGGUAUAUAAGCAAUUGCCCCUAAAAAAUAUAUAUCUUCAAGUACUAAACUAAUUUAUAAUUGCCAUUCGAAUUCUGGCCACAACAUUAUUCAUGUUCUUAUAAGGAAUUGUAAACAUGAUGCAAAUUUAGUGAUCUCUUAAGCAAAUGUUUUAUUUGACUCGCAACCUCUCCUGUAGCAAUUUCAAAAUAAUUUUAGACAUUUAAUGCUGGAUAGAUGCUGCUGAUUGGGAUGUUGGUUAUUGCUGAAUUAGCUUGGUCUUCAAAGGUUCAUAUGCUUUCACUCUUAGUAAUGUAGAUCAAUUCAUAUUCAUCAACUCACUUGUUGAGAGAGAAAUUGUUGCAAUUCUUACCGUUUGGUUCGGGUAUAAGCAAGAACUAGCUAUUACAGAGACAUGUACAAGUAUGGGGAUAAGAAAAAUAGCGUUUGGAUGAAAAUUAGGUUGUUCCCGGAAUAAGAACAAUUUUAGAUAGUUUUAUAUAGAAAAUGAAGGUGUUGGUGGGGAUAACCGAGAACUACUAUUCUCAGGUAAAAAAUUAGCGUUUGGGUAUAAAAGGGGGGAUAAGGGCCUAUUCCUAUCCCUGUCCCCUAACCAAACGGUGCUAGUAGACUAGUGUUUCAAAUUCUCCCCUCUUGCAAUUUAUCAUAUGGCUUUAUACGGUAGUACUUUUUUUGCUAUAAAUGUUAUUCCGUAUAUAUAUAUUUUUUUUCAGUGAUCCAUAACUAAUUUUAUUAAGAAUUACAUAUAUCUUCUUCCAAAUACCACUCUUAUAUGGAUGUGUUAUGUAAAUCGAAAAUUAAAUGUUGAGGUCCAUAAUUUAGCCAAAGAAAUAUUUAGAAAUUAUUAUAAUUCUGAAACUGUUUGAACAACAAAUAUAGCCUACGGACCUUUUUUCUUAAAAAACAAUAAAAAAGAUAAAAUAAUUGGUCCAUGACAAAGAUGGUGUGCCACAUGCUGUCCACUAAACAACUUAACCUCAACCAAUAAAAAUUAUUCCGUCCACCACGUGUAUCCGUAUGCAUCAUGAAUCGUGCCUAAAUUUAAUUAUUUAAAUAUUUUAAAUUACAAAUUAGUCACAUAGAUAUGGUUUAAGCUACUUAGGGUUUAGGGUAUCAAAUAAUCUCACUAAUUAAUUAUAGAAAAGAAUAAUUUAAUAUGUUUAGGCAUUUUUAAUGUCAUUAACAGUUAAAAGGAGUACAAUUUGAAUUUUAUUAGUUCAUAUAUGUAGUAGAGGUUAUAGGUGCGGUGCAUGAAAUUUACUUCGUACACCUGGUGCAGAUAAGAAUUCCAGUCCUCCGAGCAUCGAUGCUCCUUGUCUCUUCCCUCGGUGGGCUUCUAACCCCAAAACCCUACUUCCACUACUCCUCGCACCGAGCUCCUCGGCCCUGAUCAUGGCGUCGUCGUCCACGAGCGCGGCGGAGGUGGCGUCGGAGGCGUACAUGGGGGGCGCGGCGGUGGCGGAGGCGCGCGCGCUCGUGGCGGAGCUCUGCCGCCUCUUCUACACGCAGGGAUGGGUCACGGGCACGGGGGGCAGCAUCACGCUCAAGGUCCACGACCCCGCCGUGCCCAAGCCCCACCAACUCAUCGUCAUGUCCCCCUCCGGUAAAUCCUAUCGCCUCCUCCUCGAUCCUCUUCCUCUUUGGUGUUAUCUCCAUGGAUCGAUCGAUCGGUCAAUGGUUCGAUCGAUGGGUCGAUCGACUGGGGGGUUUGAUGUGAUCCUUCGGUGUGAUUGGUGAUUUAGGGGUUCAGAAGGAGCGGAUGGUGCCCGAGGACAUGUACUUGCUCUCUGGCGAUGGCGAGGUGCUCUCCCGGCCCGUGCCGAAGCCGUGGCCCCAUAAGCCCCCCAAGUGCACCGAUUGUGCCCCGCUCUUCAUGAAGGUGAUCGAUCGAUCCAUCGAAGCCAUUUGCAUUAUUAGUUACAUUGAUACUAAAUCCCUCUUAUUUUCAAUUACAUAUUUUUCUUAAUGAAGGCCUUGUUUAGUUAAGAUUUCAUUUUUCUGUUGUUGCUCUAAGUAAAAAAUUAGGUCUUUGAAUGCUCGGUGGAUGGCGGAUUGCUUUCAUUUGUACAUCUAUUGGUUUUUUCCGGCGAAAAGGAAAAAUUUAAUAGUAACUUUUUUCGAUUUGUGUGUUUUUCUCAGCAGUAACCAACAAUGCAAGAAUGGAGCAAUCCAUUUCUGGCUCAUAUUUCAAAUCGCUGUUAAGACAAUGGAUCAGCUAUUUGCCUCUUUUAUAUAGCUCUUAUCUUAUAUUUAUAUCCUUUGCAGGCUUAUCAGAUGCGAAAUGCUGGAGCUGUUAUUCAUAGCCACGGCAUGGAAUCUUGUCUUGUUACAAUGCUUCAUCCAGGCGCAAAGGAGUUCCGGGUAAAUCUUUCAAGUUAUAUGUAGGAAUACUUUUGGAACUGUCAUUCAUCUUUUACUUGUUACUGUAUUUCCAUUUCUUGUUAGCUGGAGAUGUUUCAGAAUGACAUCCACUUUGAUCUCUUCUAUUCCAUAAUAACUCUUUUGUUGGUUUAGAUAACUCAUAUGGAGAUGAUUAAAGGAAUACAAGGACAUGGUUAUCAUGACGAGCUGGUAGUUCCGAUAAUCGAGAAUACCCCUUAUGAGUAUGAGCUCACAGAUUCCCUUAGUGAAGCGGUACUAUUUUGUCUUGCGAAUGUGUUUUCUUCUUACUUUUUCAGGACUAUAGAUAAUGUAGAUCAUAUAUGGUUUCCUCUUCAAACUUAAAAUCUAGAUAUGUAUGGACUUCAUUUGACAAAUGAAAUAUUUUAAGUAGCAAAUUGUUUGCUCUUUGGACAUUUGAAGUAUAUUAAAAUAUUUUAGAAAGUUUAUCUGAAGUAUAGUAAAUAUUUUACAAAGUUUUGCCUAAGCAGACAAAUUGUCAAAGCUGUUUAGUUCAUGUAUAUGGAUCUUAAUAUGGAUCUUAAUUAUGUAAACUUCAUGUAUAGGGAUCUUAGUAAACUAGCAAGAAAUUCAAUUGUAUAUGAUAAAAUGGUAGAGAAGGAUUACCAUAUACUUGUAUAGUGAGGCUAUAAUACAUUCUGCUCCGGUGAACAUAUUUUGAUGAUUCAUCACUUUCAACAAUGAUAUAGAUGGUUUUUGUAUGCUAAUCAUGACAGUUGUGAAAAUCAUUUGGAUAGGUUCUUUAUAACUGAACUGAGAUUGUACUUAAACAGAUUGCAGCAUAUCCAAAAGCAACUGCUGUACUUGUGCGAAACCAUGGUAUUUAUGUAUGGGGUGACACAUGGAUCAGUUGCAAGACUCAGGUAUGUUUUUCUUUUUUUUUUCUAAAGAUUUAAAUGUAUGAUUUAAGGUAAUAUCAGUAUGAAUUAUAUUUUAUGCUGACAGUUGUAGUUCCACACACACAGUAAAUGGUGUGUUUCCUUCCAUAAUGAACAUCUGUUUAAUCUUUCUCCUCUAUCAACUACAAACUUUGCUUAUGGGAUACUUUCUUAGUGAGGUUGUAUAUUGAAUAUUUGAUCCAGCGUAAUCCUAUUGAUUCCUCUUGAAUAUCAAAGUUUUUUAGGUUAACUUUUCUAGGUUAUGAAAAUUAUCUGAAGCAUUUGGUGGAGCUGAACAUAGCUUUUGGCUGGAUUUUGUCUUACAAUUCAUAUUUUUUAUGAAGAUGAGGAAAGCUCAGUAGUAAGUAAUGUAAUAAUAGUGUAACAUCAUUUUCUCAAUUUGCAACAAUCGUGGAUUCAGUCUUUCACUUCUGUUUAUAAUUUCUUAACCAUGUUGAAGAAACAAAUUUGCAAUAAAUCCACCAUUUGUUCCUAUUCAACGUACUAAAGAAAUAUACUAUAUGUAACAUCCUUUUGUCACCUGUUCCCAACUUGGUCUUUGCUAUCAUUCCUAUUAUUCUUCUGCUCUUGAUACGCUUUUCCUUAUCGCCGCUUGUCUUUGAAUAUUGUCUUAUUUAUUUUCUCUGAUGUGAUUUUCAGGCUGAGUGCUAUCAUUAUCUUUUUGAUGCUGCCAUCAAGCUCUACCAAUUGGGCAUUGACUGGACGACUCCUAGUCAUGGUCCAAUCAAUGUUGAUAGACCAUUGCAGCACAAAGACCAUUUGAGUACUUCAGUGAGAGCAGCAGUCCAAAAUGGCAAUCUUGCUGCUGAAUCUUCAAAGGUCAGUUCUCGGAGUUCUAAUGCUAGAUUUUACUGGGAAUGAUAUGACUAUUUUGGGGGAUGAGGGGGGUUUCUAUCUAUUCUUUGUGCAUUUAUCUUUUGAGCAAUUUGUGUUUUUUUGUCUUUUCUCUGUAGAAAUAUUUACAUAUAUACCACUGCAAGAUUACUAUAAAUAUAUAUUUCUGCAAAAUAUAAAUUCCAUAUAUGCCAUUAAAAACUCCUCUUUUACAUAUAUACCCUUGUGCUUACAAAAUACCCCUCUUUAAAAUCCUUAUUCAUAUGCAGUCCGCUUUCUCCCCAUGAAUUGGAAUGCCCCACAAAUUAAGAUGACUGGUGUUUCUUUAAGAAACUGAACUUUCGACGGUUAUAAAAAUAAAUGAUAGCUCAGAAUUUAUUGGGGUGCAUGUAAAUCAAUGAUUUUGCAGGAUAUAUGCAUCAGAGCUCCUUUAAUAUUUGUGUUAUUAGAUCUGUUUCUUCUUCAACUUCUCUUAUAGGUUCCAUUAAUUUAUUUCUUACUAUUAGCACUUAGCUAAUCUUCACUUCUAAUAAAAAAAAGCUAAUCAAUUUUAAUGAUCUGCAGAAAUGCAUUGUCCUUGACAUUGAAGGAACAACUACUCCAAUAUCAUUUGCCACCGACAUUCUUUUCCCCUAUGCUCGAGAUAAUGUUCGGGAACAUUUGAUUUCAACAUACGACAGCGAGGAAACUCAAGAUGAUAUUAAGCUAUUGCGCUUCCAAGUAAGAUAUUGAUGCUUUCUACUAUCCAAAUUAUUUGCCUUUUGGGUACUGCCAUGGCAAAUAAAAGUGCUUGUUAUCAAAAGUUCUAAAUGAUGUCAUUGUCCGCAGUGUUUGUUUGCACAAAUUAGAUGAAGAGAGAUUGAUACGAACUUAUAUUCCAUGAUUUGCGUAUAUUGCUAAAGCACAACUAGGCUUCAAUCCUAAAAUCUUAGGCUUAUUUAUAUAGUGUUUGAAUCAGCGCCAACAUGUGCCUCUAAUAAGAUAUAUUUGAGUGGUGGGUGCAUAUAUUCAUAGUUUUUUUUUCGGUUAACAUAUAGUUGCGAUUUUUUGACAGGUUGAGGAUGACCUAAAACAAGGGGUUGUUGGGGCUGUACCCCUUCCACCUAAUGGUGCUGGAAAAGAGGAAGUCAUUGAUUCCUUAGUUGCUAAUAUUCAAGCUAUGAUUAAAGCAGACAGAAAAGUUACAUCUCUUAAACAAUUGCAGGUAGCAUAAUCGGUUCUAGACCUCUCAUUCUGAGGAGAAAUUAUUGUGAGGACCUGGUCCACCGUGAACCAUCACAACACAACACAAGUCUUAAAGUGAAGCUUUAAACCAUUCGACUUGAUCUACAACACCUUAAGGGUCAUUGAAAAUCAUAACAUUUAGAAAUUUAUUUCUUUUGUAAUGAGCAGUAACUGGUUAACGCUGUUAAUUUUUCCACCUACCUGAAGCUUUCUUGCCUAGGUAAGAGCUUUCCAAAAACUAAUGAUCUUUGAUAUUAGAGUCCUUAGAGGUUGUAGAUCACAUAAUGGUAUAUAUUUAGAUGUUAGGCCUCUAUUCUUAAAAAUUAAGGACUGGUUCUUGGCUGACAUGGUCGAGCAGGCCUAGCCUGUAAUUUCUCCAUUAUGAGUCAAAGAAUCUGUGUGUAUCUGGUUGAGUUUUGACUAACCUUCUUUUUGUUUCUUUCUUUUCUUUUUUUUGACACACAGGGCCAUAUUUGGAGAACUGGAUUUGAAAACAAAGAACUGCAAGGAAUUGUUUAUGAGGAUGUUCCUGAGGCUCUUAAGAGAUGGCAUGCCAAUGGCGUAAAGGUUAUAUAUUCAUUCGAUCUACGUAAUUUAAUUCUUUAGCUGAAGAUUCACAGAUUAAAAUAGUUAAGCAGACAUUUAAUUGAUUCUGUCAUUCUGCUUUUCCAUCAAUUAGCCAUAUGCUUCUUGAAUGAGAAUUCACAAGCCAUCCAUUACGGUAAUCCUGGUUCUAAACUUUUUCUUUUCUAAGUCACCUGCAAACACGAUGAAAAAGAACUCUAAAAACUGACCUGUUUGAAUUACAAUUGUGUGCCCUAUUCUUUUCUCACCUUGCUAGCUUUUGUAGUAGGAACUUGUCUACUAUUCUAUUUGUCUUUUUAGAUUUUACAUUCAUCUCGUAGUUUUUCAUGGCAGAAGUCUCUGAUAAAUCUAAAUUCAGGUCUAUUUAUAUUCGAGCGGUAGUAGAGAGGCUCAGAGACUUCUGUUUGGAAACACAGCUUAUGGCGACUUGAGGAAGUACCUUUGUGGAUAUUUCGACACCACAACUGGGUAGGUUAUCUGUUUCCUUUUCUUGCUUUUGCAAUGUCUUAUGCUAUUUCUUUUCACUAAAAGAUAUAUUUCACUUUUUUUUCCUUUCCAAUAUAGGAACAAAAGAGAAGCACGGAGUUAUUUCGAAAUCUCACAGUCACUAGGGGUGGACAAGCCAUCUCAAAUAUUAUUUGUAACAGAUGUCUAUCAGGAAGCUGUGGCUGCAAAGGCUGCAGGUAAAUGCAUUAAGUUUUUAUUAUAUUGAUUAACUUUGUUUACCUCUAAAUAUUUGCUGCUACUUGCUAGAGAAAAAUGAUAUUUUGCUGUUUUUUGUACUUGAUGUUUUUUAUUUAUUUAUAUACUUUCUUGAAUGAGAUUUUUCCACUUAGAUUGCACAUUCUUUAUAGUGAUUUUUUAAUUUGGGCACUCUGGAAUCCCUAGCGUCCUCAUAUCCCCACUAUUUUGCAAAAUCUAAAUUUAACAAUAUUUGGAAUCACAACUUAGAACGCCCAUCCGAAUGGUCAAUUUCCCUAUCAACCCCGCUAUUUUCCGGGAAAUGUUGUAUACAAUUACGUGAACAUGACUGCUCAAAAUUCUCUGUUCAGUUGUCUUGAUAUGUAAAUCAUAUUUAACAUAUUCACCCUUUCAUGCAUGCAUCCAAUUGAUGGACCAUCAGAUUAUAUUAACACUUAAAAGUCAAACAAGUCCUAUCAAUUUCAGGUUUGUGGUGUUUACAUAUACAUAAUAAGUAUUUGCACCUACUUUGAGAUGAGAAGUUAAACAUGGUGCUUCCUGUUAGAUAGGAUAAUGGCCCAUCAUGUCAAAUAUCUGUUGUUAGAACUUGAUAUGUCUUGGUUGGAUCAAAUGAAUUUACCUAUCGGUACAUUCUGUUGUUUUAGCUUCGGAUAUUGCAUUUCCAUUGAGAAAUAAAAAGUUUCGAAUUCCAUGAAUAAAAUGUUAGAAAUUUUUAAGGAAUGAAGAUGCUUUUAUUUUUCAUUUCUCUUACAGCUGUUAUUUCUUCUUCUUCUUUUUCUUUUCUUCACUCAUUUCUUUUAGCUUUCCUGCAAUAAUGAAUUUAUAUCUUUUUUUUUUCAAGAUAUAUAAUUUUACUAUUAUUGUUUGGUUCUGUUAUCCAUUCAUCAUCUUACAAGUUAUCGUCCUUGUUGAAAUUUUCAGGUAUUGAUGUCAUAAUCUCGAUCCGCCCUGGAAAUGCACCUCUUCCCAAAGAUCAUGGUUUCGCGACCAUAACAUCUUUUGCGGAAAUCUGAGUUAGUGCAACCUGUACAAUUGCUCGGGCCCCAGGUCAAAUAAGUGCAAAUAAAAUUUGUUUAUCAUCACAAUAUGCAGUCAUGAGUCACGAAUCUACGAAAUAGUAAAUAUAUAUCUUAUGUACUAGUAAAAUGCAUCAAAACACUUUGGCUAUAUGGUAUUGUGUGCAUAUAUAUGUGGUGUUACACAUCUUGAAUAGUUAAACUCAGCUUUUGAGUACCCUGCAAUGGUUAUUUAAUGAGCGAAUUGCGCAUAUAAUUCUAGCCUUUUUGUCUUUUCCCCGCUUUUUCGUUUUCGAGUAAUGCUUGGUCUUUAAAGCCUAGGAUUUGUCUCCCCAGAUUGGCAUAAAACUCUGCUUUUUGUUCUCAUGUACUUAGAGAUAUUUCACAUUGCAAAAGAUUUGGCCUUUCAAAGGUUUAAGCUCACAUUGACCUUUUUCUCUCUUGUCAACAUAUGGGCGAAAAAUGUAUGGGUAGCUUUAAGUACAAUUUCUGUAACAUUCUCGGAAUUUAUAUAUAUAUAUAUAUAUAUAGAGAGAGAGAGAGAGAGAGAGAGAGAGAGUUGAGCUAGAAAUUUAUCGGUAGCAAACGGGUUCCGUUGUCACCAAUUUAUUUUUGAUGAUAGAACCUCCAAAUCAACGAUCGACACCGUUGAAUAUGAUCUAUACCACUUGAAGUAUCUAGAAAUAAAAUUUUAUUUUUUUCGAUAUUGUUCUCUUGUCUAUUAAAUGAGCGUAAAAAUGAAUGGCUUAAAAUGAAUAUCCUCUAAAAAGUGAUAAUAGAAAUUUUGUAAUCAAGAUCGAGAGUAUAGAUCUUAUUCUAAAUAGUUUAAAGAAUUUUCUAACUAAAAUUCAAUUGAUUUGGAUAGCUUUACACAGUUAAACGAGAAAACGCCUCAUAUCUACCAUUAAAAUUACAAACUUUGAAACCCUUUGAUCAUUAGGUCAAUGAUAUCGAAAUGAUUUGAAAUUUGGUUUCUAAAUACUUCAAGUGGUAUAGAUCAUGUUCAACUGUGCCGAUCGUCGAUUUAAAGGCUCCAUCAUCGAAAACAAAUGGGUGGCAACGGAGCCGGUUUGCUACAGAUAGCAUUCCAGCUCAACUCUCUCUUUCUCUUUCUCUCUCUCUCUCUCUCUCUCUCUCUCUCUCUCUCUAUAUAUAUAUAUAUAUAUAUAUAUAUAUAUAUAUAUAUAUAUAUAUAAUUAGGUUGGAAUACUAUUAAUAGUAAAACGUUCUUUUUGCUAUCAAGUUUUAACCUUUGGAUAAAAAAUUGUAGGGUUAGGAUGAUAUUAGUCGGUUAGAGUUGAGCGGUCCCUCUAGGGUUGAGUGGUCCCCACUGGGUUAUAGUAUUUAAUCCAAUGGUUAGAAAUAAUAAAAAAAGUUGAUCCAAAGGCUAAAAAACCGGUAACAACAAUAAAAUUUUGCUACUAAUAGUAGGCCAGUCCAACUCUCUCUCUCUCUCUCUCUCUCUAUAUAUAUAUAUAUAUAUUAUACGUGUAAUUGACUCUAAAAUUAUAGGGUCAGGAUGAUAUUAGUCGGUUAGAGAUGAGUGGUCCCCCUAGGGUUGAGUGGUCCCUACUGGGUUAUAGUAUUUAAUCCAAUGNCUCUCUCUCUCUCUCUAUAUAUAUAUCUAUAUAUAUAUAUAUAUAUAUAUAUAUAUAUAUAUAUAUAUAUAGAAUUAGGCCACUAUACUAUCUAUAGUACCGGAGCUCCGGUACUAUAGUCUUGUUUUCGAUUUUAGGGUGUUCAAAUUAACGAUUCAUAUCGUUAAAUAUGAUCUAGAGUAUAUGAAAUUCUUAGAAAUAAAAUUUUAGUUUUUUUCGACAUCGUUUACUUAAUAAAUAAAUUAUGUCAAAAUGGACGGUGGAAAUUGAAUAAUCUUUAAAAUUUGACCAUAGGACUUUUAAAUUCAAGAUUAAGAAUGUUAACUUUAAUCUAAAUAGUUUAAAAUAUUUUCUAUCAAAAUUUGAAGAACUCUAGAUUUUUCUACACCGUUAAACUCCAAACUCGUCAUAGUAGCCAUUGAAAAUUGACAAUUUUGAAAUGGUUUGAUCAUAAAGUAAACUAUGUCGAAAAACUAUAAAUUUUAUUUCUAAAACUUUAAAUACCCUAGAUCAGUUUUAACGGUAUGGAUCGUUGAUUUGAACACCCUAAGAUCGAAAACGGGACUAUAGUACAGGAGCUCUGGUACCAGAACCCCGGUACUAUAGAUAGUAUAGGAGACUAGCUCUCUCUCUCUCUCUCUCUAUAUAUAUAUAUAAAAUAUUAUUUAAGAUUCCCGAAUCAAAGUUUUGGAAAAACCUGAGGUUUUGGUGAAGUGGUGAAACUGUUAUAGAUUUGAACUAGUAGGCUCUAAACUAUUGAUGAGGAGAACCAAAAUAUGACAGUCACAUGGGUGAUUCCGAGGAUUUAAGUGUCGUGGUACGGGGUCGUGCCGAAAACUUGCCGGCACGGUACAGUACGGUGCGUGCCGAGCCAUGCCGAUGCGUGCCGAUCAAAAAAAUUCUUAUGUGUCGACACAUAAUAGUAUGAAAUAUUUAUUUUUUUUAGCAACAAAAUAUUCUAACUAUUUAUUAUAUCCUUUUAUCACAUCUUUUGAACUUUAUUGAGGAAAUCACUUACUAAUUUAAAUAAUAGAGGGUUUUGAGCUGUGCCAUCGGCACGGGGUCUGUAUUGUGCCGGUAUCUUGUUGGCAUGGUACGGUACGGUGGAUACGACCCGUGCCGACGGGCACUUAAAACCUUGGGUGAUGCGCUGUUUUCGACUAUUCACAUUUGCUUUUAAGGUUCACUUAUUCUAUCAUAAUUUUCUAAAAAAUUAUAUAUAUUUUAAAAAGAGAUGUGAUUGGUUGGGACGUAGAAAAUGUGGUGUAGAUAAUAUGGUGUAGCUACUUACUCACGGAUGAGAGGCUUUUUUUUUUCGUAGUUCAUGGUAGGGAGUAUUUUGGCACCUUUCUGUUCAGAAUUUAGCGAUUUUUUAGUGAGGCCAAGUUUCUGGCCCAACUUUGCCCACCAAACCAACAAUCUUUCAUAGAAGAUAAACAGUUAUGCAACUGUUGCAAUUAAUACUUUCAUAAUUGCCAGCGAAAAUUCAAGGGAUAUGAGCAAUUUUUGGAAUUAUCUUAUAUUCAUGAGGGCUCAUUAUUAUGUGAUAGUGGGUGAGUUCCUUAGUGGGCGAGUUAUUGUAGGCUAGGUUCAAUAUAUUUUGUGCCUAUAAAUAGAGCGCUAGCUAAGGCCAAGGGAAGACAAGACAACAAGAGAGUAUCAUGUGUAUUGUAAUCUUUUUUUUUCUAAGUAAUUGAAAUCACUUAGUUAUUUUUAGAAAACCUCUAUCUUUUCUUUUUUUUUGCAUACUUAGUCGUAGGACGUAAAGUUUCAGACUAGCAAUAGAGAGCUAGACUUGUCCAUCUUCGAGGAGAAAUGCGGGCGCCGCACGGGCUUUACGAAAAAAAAAAAAAAAACUAUGGCCGUGACACUCGGCUCCCAAUCCAAAUGAUUUGGUGCUAAUUAGGCACUUCAAAUAUAAAAUAUGAGAAAUACGAGCAAUGCUACUAGUAGACCUUUAUCCACAAAUCGUCAUUCCUUUUUGGUCAUGCAUCUCAAUUUUUUUAUUAUAAAUUAUUAGAUGUUUUGUAAAAUUUUAAUAAGAGAGGUAAAAUUUAUAUUCUCUUUUGAGGUGUAAAAGUAGAAUUUUCUAUAAAAUAUACUGUAUUUGUGAAAUCCUAAAACACGCUAUUCCUGUUUUGAUUUUACAAAGUUUUAUCAAAAUUUGUUAAACAAAAUGAUUUUGCUAAGGAAAUUAUUCCGUUGAAUUUUAUGCAAUAUUUCAUCAAAAAAUUAUAAAGUUAAUUUAUCAAAAGUAAUAAAUUACUACUUAAUAAAAUCAAGAAUUUAAAAUUUAGACAUCUUUCUUAAUAUAAUCAUAUUAUAGUUCAAAUAAUAUUGCUAUAUUUUAACCUACAACUAUUUUGCGUGACCGUAUAUACCUGUUAAUAA